AGGAACCUGUGUAGUCAAAUUAGCAUAGAUCAAGCAAAUGAUGAAGUUAGGAAGACAAUUGAAGUCUUCACGGACAUAGGAGCAAAGAAUCCGGACUUCAUGUUUGGGGUGCAAGAAGAUGCCGAGAAUCGGAUAAAGAACCUCAUGUGGACCAACGGGGGGAGCCAAAUGCAGUACAAGUACUUUGAAGAUGUUAUCACGUUCGACACCACUUACAGGACUAACUUGUACGGCAUGCCAUUUAGACUAUUCAUUGGCGUGAAUGAGCACUUUCAGAGCAUCAUCUUGGCUGGAGUGUUGGUUAGAGAAUAGCAGGUAGAGAGCUUCGAAUGGGUUUUCUCUGAAUUCAUAAGAAUGAUGGGUGGUGAAGCACCAAAGACAAUUCUGACAUAUCAGAAUCAAGCCAUGGAGGUGGCCAUAAAGAAUGUCAUGCCAAACACAGCCCACGGAUGCUGCAAAUGGCACAUCUUGAAGAAAGCAGAAGAGUGCCUUGGACCCCUAUACAGAAAACGGAAUGGGUUCCAGCCAGAGUUUCAUAAGGUCGUCAACCACAUAGUCACAAUAGAUGAGUUUGAGACAUCAUGGGGGAUGUUGAUCGACAAGUACAACUUAAGGUCACAUCCGUACAUGACACAACUUUACGAAACCAGGAAGAAAUGGGCAAAGCCAUAUUUCAAGGGCGUGUUUUGUGCCAAGAUGAUGAGUACAGAAAGAAGCGAGACCGCCAACAGUAUGCUGAAGACAUAUGUGCCACCUGCAUGUCCGAUGCAUAUGCUUGUGAAGAAAUACAUGCGGUUGCAGAACCGGGAUGCAGACGAGACCUACCAAGAGAAACGGACCAUGAUUGGUGGUGUCGUGCUGAGGCUUAAUACAUCUAUUGAGCAACACGCUAGCAAGAUAUAUACUCAUGCAAUGUUCAAACAGUUCGACUAAAUCCUUUAUGAAGCAGGAGCUUACCAUGUGGAGGUGAUUGAGAAGAACAGGUUGUACAGGGCAAAACACAAUGAAGCAGAGAGUAGAGAAAAAUGGCUCAGGGUAACCUACGAGGUUAAGAUGAUGGACAAUGGGGACAGAUUUGACUGCGAAUGUGGUCAAUUUGACCACAUGGGUUUGCUGUGCUGCCAUGUGCUUAAGGUUAGAAGAAUAAAUCUUAUCAUGAGUAUUGGUAUUCGGCAUCAAGUUUCCAGAAUGUGCGCAAAAUAUUUAUCAUUAAUAUGUGUACUCUUGCCUGGCAAUGCAGGUGAUGGAUUAUGUUGUGUUAGCAAUAAACCAUGCGCAUGUGUGUUGAGAUGGUGCGUGUAG
rnacentral:rRNA from 1 species